CUCUGACCAUAAUUUAUGUGAGGCCAGAUGGAACUUGAUGUUUUCUGUUAAGUUUCAGCUGGAUUUUGCAAUUUAAGUUUUUGGUUUGAAUAGCGAGUUAGAGCAAAACAUGGAGGAAGGAAUGGAAAGCAGCAAUUAAUUCACAUAAAGCUUAACAGGAGGAGGAAUAUCUGGAACCUUUUAAAGGAUUAAAAAUAAGUUGCGGUGGAUCAUUUGUUUGCGAGACAGAAGAGGCUUCAAAGAUCCUCAAGCGGAUCAAACAGGAGCGUUCAGAGGCUUCACAAACUGAUGGAGGCCACCGGGCAGGAAGCGUCUCGAAUGGCUCGCUCUUUUGUGCCCACAUCAAAGUGCCCCUGCGUGACUGGCAGCCUCCUUUCUGGCCGGUGGUCCGCCAGGGAUUGGGUGGCAGCAGAAAGAAGAGGAUUUGCCUCCUAGUUCACCCCUGUGCAGUGUAUGUGCAGGUCAGAGGAGAUACUCGCACGGUUGCAUGGCUUAGAGCAUGACCUUCCCCUGGUGUUGCUUGCCCUCCUUGCUCUCUUGUCCUCUCCUCAUCGCUGCUUUACCUUUCUUUUGGCUGUGCAAGAGGAAGCCAUGUGAAUGUAAAAAUCUGUGGUGCAACCUACGGCCCCCGCUGUCCUCGCCUUAUAGCUGGGGCUGCUAUGCCAAGAAGUUUAUGUAUGGGAUUUAUGGCCAACUGAAGGCCAUGGGAAGAACACUGCCAGCAGAACUGGCUUGUGGGUGAGGCCUUGGGCUGACAGAUCCUGGAAAACCUAAGUGAAGGGUUGGAGAACACAGUUACUUGUAAAAGAGGGGGUCCUGAAUCCACUUGUGCUCCCCUUUUCUUUCUUUCUGCCCUUACUCUGAGCUGCUGGAGGAGAAGGAGCCUCCUGCAACCUCAGUCCUCCAAACGUGGGCACCGAGGAGCAAUGGCAAAGCUGUGCAGUAACUAACUGCACCCUCAGCACCCCAGCAGGCCGCAGCUCAGGACCAGGGCCCUAGGCUGGCCCAGAGACAUUGGAGUUGCCUGAGGUUCUGCCAGUCUGCAUGUCCCAAACUGGACAGGGUCAAACUGGUGCUCAAAGGCUGCUGAGGAAAAGCUGGACCACAGGGUGGGAGGCUCCGGGGCCUGAUUCUGCAGCCCAUUGAUCUCUGCAAAAGGCUGCAGGAGCUGAAGCCCACCUGCAUUAAUUCAAGGCAGAUACACCAGCACCAGUCACGUGUACCAUGUGGCAGUGAGAACCUCCAGAGUUCAUGGCAGGGGAUGGCAGUAUAAUGAAGUUUACUGUGAAAUUAGCUAGGAAAACUCUACAUAAAGGGAGGAGAAAUAUAGCCUGUACAGUGUGUGAGAUCAUUAUAUUACAGACACUUUCAAGGCCAUUUCAUAAGGAGACACUGAAAAAAGACCUUAUGAAAGACUAAAAAAAUCCUGCACCCCUUAACAUCCUGCACUUUUAACCAAAGGCUGAACUUGCACAGAGAGCAAUGCUUUUCAUAUUUAAAUCCAAUCAGCACGAUGGCAGGCCAGGGAGAAAAUAUCCAGGCUUUGGAGCCCAGCUAUGAAGGGGGGAGCACAUAAAAAUGGGGUCAGCUGGGAAAAGAAGCUAACAGAAGCCCUGGUGCAGCCACCAGUUCACUUUUGGGUUUUAAGGGGCAGCCAGCUGUUAUUCUAGCAACUCUCCUUCAGCUGAUCAGCAAGCCCUAAAGAGGAGGUGUUGUGGUGAGGUGGUCACCCAGGU